rnacentral:rRNA from 1 species
UGCAAGUCGAGCGAUGAAGCACCUUCGGGUGUGAAUUAGCGGCGAACGGGUGAGGAACGCGUGAGAAAUCUGCCUUCAACACUGGGAUAACUCCGGGAAACCGGGGCUAAUACCGGAUAUGAAAUCUGCGGGCAUCCGCGGAUUUGGAAAGUUUUUCGGUUGAAGAUGAUCUCGCGGCCUAUCAGCUUGUUGGUGAGGUAAUGGCUCACCAAGGCGACGACGGGUAGCCGGCCUGAGAGGGCGACCGGCCACACUGGGACUGAGACACGGCCCAGACUCCUACGGGAGGCAGCAGUGGGGAAUAUUGGGCAAUGGAGGAAACUCUGACCCAGCGACGCCGCGUGCGGGAUGAAGGCCUUCGGGUUGUAAACCGCUUUCAGCAGGGAAGAAGCGAAAGUGACGGUACCUGCAGAAGAAGCACCGGCUAACUAUGUGCCAGCAGCCGCGGUAAUACAUAGGGUGCAAGCGUUGUCCGGAAUUAUUGGGCGUAAAGAGCUCGUAGGUGGUUCGUCACGUCGGAUGUGAAACUCUGGGGCUUAACCCCAGACCUGCAUUCGAUACGGGCGAGCUUGAGUAUGGUAGGGGAGUCUGGAAUUCCUGGUGUAGCGGUGGAAUGCGCAGAUAUCAGGAGGAACACCAAUGGCGAAGGCAGGACUCUGGGCCAUUACUGACACUGAGGAG